ensembl:lincRNA
AUCAGUGGUCAGGGGAGAUGACAGUGAUAGUGUCUUUGGAAGACUAAAUGCCACAGCCAUGAUUUCCAGUCACUGCAGCAGGAGGCCAUCCAGAAGGGCGAUGUAAUUCCCAUUACAGUUGAUGGAAACAGCAGAUUGAAAAAAAGAAGCACAAUGACAAAAAAAGAUUCCAGGGGCUGGAAGUCUGAAAACUACAUUUCUAAGACAUCUACUGGCAAGAGAUGAAAAUGUGAAAGACAGAGAGAAGUCACUGUGAGAUUCUGCUGUCCCAGUUAACAGGAGCAGGAAGCUCAUGGACUCUUGACUCUUGAAGCCAGCAAUGGCAAUGGCAGCAAAGGCCACCACAGACAACUGUGAGCUGCUGCAGCUGUCAUGAGGCAACAGGGGCAGGAACUGGAAGAGAACACCAAGACUGUCUCUCAAGUUAGCAGUGGGCACCCUACGACCUCCACGGUGGAUUACCCGUCAUGCCUACUUGACCCACUUGGAUUUGUUGUCUUGUGGAGUCUCACAUUUGCUGUUAACUUUUCAAUUAUUAGCCUUGCCUCUCCAAAACUUUCAAAAUCUCCC